UGCUAAAUUUGUAUUUUCCCUUUUUUUAUAUCCCCUAAACAAUAAUGUCAUGGAGUUUAAAGUUAAAAAUAAAAAUAAAAUUUUUAUAUCCCCUAAACAAUAAUGUCAUGGAGUUUAAAGUUAAAAAUAAAAAAUAAAAUAAAAAUUGUGCUCCCAAGGUGAUAAAUUAAUAAGCAAAAAAAAAAUAAUAAUAAAAAUAAAAAAAUGAAUGGGAAUCAAAAUUGAUGCUCGUAGGAUAUGCUUCCCCACUAAACUAAAAACCCAUUCCUUUAAGGUCAUCAAACCCUCUCAUCACUUCACUCUCUUCUUUCAUGUCCAAAAUGAGGCUCCGGUGGAGUUUAAAACCACCGGAAGCCAUGGCGGCAUAUGGCAGCGGUGGUGGUGGUGAAGUGAUGAUCAAGUUUUCUGGUGGUCAAUGAAGUUGUGAAACUAUGUUGAUCAUUUGGGCAACUACACAAUCUUUGGCAUAAAUGCAACCAUAGUAAAACGGUGGUUUGAUUUUGAUCUUGCUUUCUAUUACGGUACCUCUUUAAUAUUUAUAAACUUUGGAUUGUAAGUUGUAAUUAUCUUUAAGUAAACGAAUGAAUGUUGGAAAAAAAAAAUUGAUAUUGUUUUUGUUAUGAUAAGUUGAAAAAUCCCUAUUUUGUUUUUGGUUUAUUACUAGUUUUACGUGAAUGGUCCAUGAGAAUUGAGAAACUAAUAAUCCUUACAUUUAAAUUCAACUCUUUAUAUCAUAUUUUUUUCAUAUAUUAAGUAUUAUUAACAUAAUUAUUUAUAUUCAUAUGUUGGUUGUGAGACUGGUUGAUACAAUGUUGAUUAUAUUUUGUUUUACGGGAACACAUUUCGGUUUUCGUCUAUAUAUCGACGCCCAAACGAGCAUGCACCGAAAAGGCGAAAAUCCAGAAACCAGUUUUGUAUACUAUCUUUUAUAAAUUGAAAAUUAAAGAAAUAAAUAUAGGUUGAUAAUAAAAUGCGUACAAAAGGAGUAUUGUUUUCCUUUUUUCACAUGAUAUACACUUAUGCGGUCAUGUUACACGGUCCUAAUCAGUAACUAAUAACUUUAUUAAAAGUUUUAUUUAAUUUAUAAUUAACUAAAUAUUGAGUAAAUAAAAUAAAAAAGUAGAUGAAUAGGUUCAUCUUGUCCAUCUCCUUUUCGGGCUACUCAUCAGUGGCCAAAUCAAAUUUGUGAAUGAUUAUCCAUUUUUUUUUCUUUUGAGAUGAUUUUCCAAUACACAGGUCGUAAAUCUUAGUAGUGAGCUUAAUAUAAAGUUAAAGUGAAGUAUACUAUAUAGUAGUUGGCCAAACAGCCACAAGGACAAAUUCAAGUCUACAAGACUACAACUCGGCUAUGGCGCUAAAUUAUCCCGUAGUAUAUUGGCGGCCCCCUUCUUAGAGAGAAAUAUCAUGAUGAUAUCUACAGGAAAAAAAAAUCAGCUUGUGGUUUUGUUGAUUUUGCACAUGACUAGACUUUUUGCUAAUGCCUUGUGCGGAAAGGGCAGCGUAUGUAGGUGAUUUGGCAAAAUUUAUCUUAUUUAUAAGAAAUUGUCAGCAAAACUAGCUAGUAGCUAAAAACUUGUAGUUAGUAAUUGUAACUUUUAUUUGUUAUAUAAAUAUUUGAUAAAAAUAUUCAAAAUUUUUGAAAUGUUUAAAAUGAUAAAAGUUACUCUUAUUAAGGGUAAUUUUGAAAUUGCUUAAAGCUUAAACGAUGUAUGAAUUAGUUUUUCGGUUAAAUGAUUUUUACUCAAAUUAAAAAGCUACAAAAUUAAGUUUUUUGUUAAUAACUAGAAGCUGACAAAAGCCUCUUGCUGUUGAUUUUAAUUUAAGGUGGUAUUUGUUUUUUUUUUCAAAAGUUCUUAACCUCUUAUGUCUGCGUCAUGCAGACAGCGUGCAGACAUUGUACUCGCAGACUGUUUGUUUUUUAGAAGACCGCAACCCUAAAAAAGUAUGUUCGUCGUCUUCUUGACGAAGAUAUGGACCUAUGUCUUCUAACAUCUUCUAGCAUUUUUUUACCUCUUCCACAAUAUGUAUUUAACUUUUAAAAAAUAAAAUAUUUUUUUUGUAAUUAUUAGUGUCUUUUUCAUUUUUAUACUUUUUUCCUCCUCUUUUUUUAUGUAUUUAUUUGUUAAUUUGUUUAUUGAUUUUAUAUGGUAAUUGUGUAUUAACCAAAAUGUUUAUGUUGUUGAUUAUGUACAUGUUUUUCUAUUCAAAUAA